GAUGAAGAACGUAGCGAAAUGCGAUAAGUAGUGUGAAUUGCUGAAUUCAGUGAAUCAUCGAAUCUUUGAACGCACAUUGCGGCCAUAGGUAUUCCUUUGGCCAUGCCUGUUCGAGCGUCAUUUACACCCUCAAGCCUAGCUUGGUGUUGGGCGUCUGUCCCGCCGUUCUCGCGCGCGGACUCGCCUCAAAGUCAUUGGCGGCGGUCGUGCCGGCCCCCUCGCGCAGCACAUUUGCGCUUCUCGGAGGCCCGGCGGAUCCGCGCUCCAGCAAGACCUUUCACGACUUGACCUCGGAUCAGGUAGGGAUACCCGCUGAACUUAAGCAUAUCAAUAAGCGGAGGA
rnacentral:misc_RNA from 1 species